rnacentral:rRNA from 1 species
CCUACGGGUGGCAGCAGUGGGGAAUAUUGCACAAUGGAGGGAACUCUGAUGCAGCGACGCCGCGUGAGUGAAGAAGUCAUUCGUUAUGUAAAGCUCUAUCAGCAGGGAAGUAAGUGACGGUACCUGAAAAAGAAGCUCCGGCUAAAUACGUGCCGGCAGCCGAGGUAAUACGUAUGGAGCAAGCGUUAUCCGGAUUUACUGGGUGUAAAGGGAGAGUAGGUGGGAGAGCAAGUCCGAAGUGAAAACCCAAAGCUCAACUAUGGGAAUGGUAUUGAAACUGCUAAGCUAGAGUGCAGGAGAGGCGAGGGGAAUUCGUGGUGUAGCGGUGAAAUGCGUAGAUAGUAGGAAGAACACCAGUGGCGAAGGCGGCUUGCUAAACUGUAACUGACACUGAGGCUCGAAAGCGUGGGUAGCAAACAGGAUUAGAUACCCGUGUAGUC